AGGCAGCUGGUGUAUGAGCUUAUGUCACCUCUAACUUAUUAGCUUGGGACAAGGUAAUUGCAUCGUUUCCACAAAAUAGAACAUGUUCAUAGUAACUACAUGCUAAUUCCUUUGAACACAACAGUAAUUAUAUGGUAACUUUGCAUCUCUCAACAAUUGUGUGAUUAACUGGUGGUGCGUAAGUUUUAAGCCAUGUGUGAGCUCAGCAUCAAGGUAGACAGUUCUGACAGGGUUCAUACAUCAAAGGACACAGUAUUAUCUCACUCUGUUCCCCAGGAACUUUGCUUCUUUUUUAAUGCUAAUGGGUUUGCCCAGGGUCUGCUGAGGAAGGAGGGCUGCAGUAACAGUCCUGAAGAUUCACCGGGACCCCACAGAAGCAGCAAAUCUUUUCAGGGCACUGAACGUCCUCAGGGAAGGCCUUAUCAGUAUGAAAGUUUUCAAGCCAUCCCCCUGAACAUGGAGGCACUGUCUGCUCGAGAUGUCAUGUGGUGGCUACCCUGGCCUUGAGGAGCCCACUCCUCGGACUUGGCCUGCAGGGUGACAAGGGCCCCGAGCCAUCCCUUCUGCCCUCUGAUCAGGAGCUGCUGGCCUGACGUGUCUGAGCCGAGGAAGGCUAAUUCCUUCUGAUUCAGGUAUCAGUUCUUUGAUGAUUCAUUUUCAAGUGGCUCCUGGGAAUGAUUUCAGAAGUUCUAUAAACUUUGCUUUGUAAAACUAAAAUUGCUUUCUGAGGCCAAUUUCAUGUCCAACAAUGGAAAAGAUGAGUCAUCACAGCUCAGGCUCCCUUGGAGCAGGGAAAUAGAAGGAUCCUUGGAUCCUUGGAUCCUUCUAUUUACCCCAAAGCAACAGCCUAUAACAGUUUAUCAUUACAAGUCUUAUAUAUUCACUAAGUCUCAGUGUAAAAUAUGUACAGUUAGCAGAAUACAUAUGCAUAUAUGUGUACUCCAUAUGGAAGCAAUGGAAGAGUAAAAGAUUCAAAGAAAUGAAGAUAAAAAUAGUGGAAUAGUGGAACAUAUUUUCUUAUGGUUCAAAUUUCUUUUUCUCUUUUCUUUCCUUUUUUCUUUUUGGCUGCACCCCCAGCAUGCAGGAAGUUCCCAGGCCAGGGUUUGAACCUGUGCCACAGUAGCGACCCAAGCCACACCCGUGACAAUGCUGGAUCCUUAACCCAAUGAGCCAUAGCACUCCUCUACGGUUCAGAUUUCUGAUUUUAAUUAUAGAUUCACAUUUGAAGUUAUUUGAGAAUUGGCAUGCCACCAAUUAUUGAAAAGCCCACCACCCAAUUUUUUUUUCUCCCACCAUCCAAUUUUCUAAAGAGAAAUAGCAUUUGAAAUAUUUUAAAUCAUUCUCUUUUAUUUCUUUGUUUUUGGGGGUUUUGUUUUAUUUUAUUUUCCUGGGUUUUUUUGUUCGCUUUCUUUUUGUUUUGUUGUUGUUGUUAUUUUUGACCCUGUCCAAAGCAUGUUGAAGUUACCGGCCCAGGGAUAGAAGCUAAGCCAUAGCAGCAACUCAAGCCACUGCGGUGACAACACCAGGCCCUUAACCCGCUGCACUACAAUGGGAACUCCACAUGCAAAUUUUUAAAGCAGUAAAAGAUUGCACAGAGGUUUGCUAAGUGGGAAACUCACAGUAAUACCUUAUGACUCCUCUUGUAUUAGUUUAUGUGGCUAUUCAAUCCAUCCUAUUUUUGAGCAUUUUACACAUAUAUAAAUCCUUUCCUCAAUCUUUACCAAUGGCAGGCUGUGUUUUCUAUUUUGGGACUCUGCCAUAGCAGCUAGUACAAUGACACAUUCAUAGUAAGUGAUUUAUAGAUAUUUGUAGAGUGAACGAAUGAGGGAAUUAUAGCCAAUUAAGACAGUUUUAUAUAUGGCUGUGUGGACUGGCCCUAUGCAAGGGAGUGGCAAUAGCUUAUGUGAGAUAGCAAAGGCCUAAAUAAGAUAGAUGAGAAGGAAUGGAGAGAGCCAGGAAAUGGGUUAUAAAAGUAGCAGCAUUUAUGGAGUACUUACUAUUUGAAGUACUUAGAAGGAGUAACCCCGACUCUUCACAACAAUCCUAUGAGGUAGGUACUAUUAUUAUCCCCACUUCAGAGAUGAAACAUAGAGAUAAUUGAACAAGAGCCAGGCAGGAGGUCGUAUCAAGAACUCACACAGUUUGUUCUGUCCUUGCCUGCAUGGAAGAUCCAAGGGUAUUUUGAGUGUUCACGUGGAUGUUAAGAGCAAAGAACAAUGAUUCAAGGGUGACAACAAAAAUUCUUGAUUGGAAUGUUAGGAAAUUACAGCAUUGUCUAACACUGAGAGAAAGCUGAAAUGGAAAAGUACAGAGGCAAAAGGAGCACUGGUGCUAUUUUUCUAUUAUUAUUAUUAUUAUUAUUAUUAUUAUUAUUAUUAUUAUUCCCUCAGCAUGGGGAAGUUCCCGGGCCAGGGGCUGAACCUGCCCUACAGCAGUGACUCAAGAUGGCAGUGACAAUGCUGGAUCCUCAACUGGCUGCCCCACAAAAGAACUCUGCAGUUGUGCUGUUUUUGCCACAUUCAGCUUAAGUGGGGUUCAUAACAUUCCCAGGAAGUCAUCUUAAGAAAGGACUGGUACAGAAGACCGACCUGGGGACCACAGUGUUGAUGGGAAGGGAAUUUACCAAGAAAAACCAAUGACAGCAGCAGACUUUAUAUAGCCUUUUUUUCUAUUUUGUGUUUAGUGAGAUAAUUAAUGUACUUUCUACAUCGGUGACUGAAUCUGAACAUUCUUUUCCCAUGGACAAAAUUAUUUGACAAAUUCUCUUAUUGUUCUUCACAGUUCUACAAAGUUAUGUUCCUAGGUUUGGAGAGAGAAAUGCUGAGACUCAGAUUUUAGGGACUCAGUGUUGGUCUCUCCUCUACUGAGAGGUCUGACCUGGCUCCUUCUCAUCAGACAGAGUUCAGCUCAAGGAAAUCCAGCUGGAGCAGCCUUCCCAAUCUGGCAGCAUGAGCUGAAGCUCCCCCGGCCCCUCCACCCCCAUCCGACCUCUUUAUCUCAUCCUAUAUUGGGUUUGGCAACAGAGCACCCACCCCUUGUGGCUUAUCUCUACUUCUGGUUUAUUUUCCAUUUGGUCUCACCAGAAUAAAAGCCCUAUGCAAGCCGGGUCUGGAGUCAGCCUUGUUCUCUGAUCUUCACCCACACAAUGUCUGGCAAGUCGUAGGCAUUCAGUCAAAGGUGUGUUGCAGAAAUGAACAAAAUCCCAAUCCCCAAUGCCUAUAGUCUUAUCAAUAACAGUGGAAUGUUGAAAAAGCACACAGUGGAGCUGAGUAUUCCUGGGAUUCCUCCCCUCCCACUGCUCUGGCUCAUUUAUGGGAGUUAAAAUGAACAGUGAAUGCAAGAAAACAGGAAGUAAUCAGGGAACUUUAAGAGCUCUCUUGUGGCGCAGCAUGUUAAGGAUCACCACUGUCAACUGCCAUGGUUGCCGCCAUGGCACAGGUUAGGAACUGGCCCAGGAACUUCCACAUGCCACAGGAAUGGCCAAAAAAAAAUGUAAAUAAAUAAACAAACAGAUCAGUCAAUAUCAGCAAUGAGGCAACACAUAAUACUAUAUUCUCAAAAUAUUAGUGAUACAAAUGUAUAGUAUACAAUGUACAAUAAUAAAAUAUGCAAUACUUAAAAAAAAAAAUCAGGGGGAGUUCCUGUUAUGGUGCAGGGUAAACGAAUCCAACUAGGAACCAUGAGGUUGAGAGUUCGAUCCCUGGCCUUGCUCAGUGGGUGGGGAUCUGGCAUUGCCAGGAGCUGUGGUGUAGGUCGCAGAUGCUGCUCAGAUCCUGUGUUGCUGUGGCUGUGGUGUAGGCUGGCAGCUACAGCUCCAAUUAGACCCCUAGGCUGGGAACCUCCAUAUGCCUAAGGUGCAGCCCUAAAAAGGAAAAAGAAAAAAAAAAGGGGGGGGAAUUUUACAGAAAACUCUUCCAGACAGUGAAAAGUGGGUGUUUCAGAUUGAGGAACAUUGGCAAGAUCGUAAGGGCAGCCAGAUGUAGAAAGCAAACCAUAUAGCAGCAGUACACUUG
rnacentral:lncRNA from 9 species